rnacentral:rRNA from 1 species
GAGUUUGAUCCUGGCUCAGGACGAACGCUGGCGGCGUGCUUAACACAUGCAAGUUGAGCGAGGAUGGUUCGAGAGACUUAUGUUGAUUGGAACAUUCAAGCAGCGGACGGGUGAGUAAAGCACAAGGACUUGUCCGAAAGAGAGGGACACCUGCGGGAAACCGGAGCUAAUACCUCAUAAGCCGGAAGGUGAAAAGCAGAGAUGCGCUUUUGGAGAGACUUGUGUCCUAUCAGGCAGUUGGUGAGGUAACGGCUCACCAAACCGAAGACGGGUAGCCGGACUGAGAGGUCGACCGGCCACAUUGGAACUGAGAGACGGUCCAGACUCCUACGGGAGGCAGCAGUGGGGAAUAUUGGGCAAUGGGCGCAAGCCUGACCCAGCGACGCCGCGUGAGGGAAGACAGCCUUCGGGUUGUAAACCUCUGUUGCAGGGGAAGAAGGAAGUGACGGUACCCUGCGAGGAAGCUCCGGCUAACUACGUGCCAGCAGCCGCGGUAAUACGUAGGGAGCGGGCGUUGUCCGGAAUUACUGGGCGUAAAGGGCGCGUAGGCGGCGCUUCAAGUCGUCUGUCAAAAGCCGAGGCUCAACCUCGGUGCGCAGACGAAACUGGAGAGCUUGAGAAGCAGAGAGGCAAACAGAAUUCCUGGUGUAGCGGUGAAAUGCGUAGAUAUCAGGAAGAAUACCAGUGGCGAAGGCGGUUUGCUGGCUGCAUACUGACGCUGAAGCGCGAAAGCCAGGGGAGCAAACGGGAUUAGAUACCCCGGUAGUCCUGGCAGUAAACGAUGUAUGCUGGGUGUG